rnacentral:lncRNA from 1 species
AGAAACUCUAAGUUCUGCCCCUAAGUAGCUUGAUAGGGAAGGGCACUUGAUUCAGCAGUUUAUAGAACAGCAAGAAUUCCUGUUCCCCUGCCUUGUGAGACCACUUGUCCUUGCCAACUCUGACUAAUUGUUUCAGUGGAAAAGAAACAACAUUCAUUGUGUAUUCUUCUUGGUGCUUGAGGUUGAUGUAACUUGUUUAAUUACAAUGCUUCCCACACAAGAGAAACAAGGGAUGUUUUCCAGGAUGAGAUGUGAUCAUGCAGACAGAGGCCAGCAUCGUGCUGCUGCAUAGAAGGGGCUUGGUAAGUGAAUGUUACCCCUAAAGACACCAGAUCUGACCUUCAGCUCUCCUGCAAACGGCCUAGAACAGUGAAUUACAUAGUCCUAUAAGGAGUCAGUUAGUGAUUGAUCCAGGGUGAUUCUGAAUUUAUUCUGAGUAAUGAAUUCUGAUUCUGUUCUUAUUUAACUAGCUUUAAAAGUGAGGAAGGAAAAGAAAGAUUAUUUUUGACAGGUUGUUUAUAAUUUCACAAGAAAAUCAGUCACUGAGUUAAAAGUUCUAUCAGUUCACUCAUUGCUCUAAGCCUUGUGACAGAAUCCACUGUAUUGAAAUCCUUGCCAGACUCCUC